UAAACAUUUACGCAUUUUUCACCCUGGCUUAGACUGCACUUGAUGUAUUAUUUAUGCACCUACAAGAAGAAUAUGUGCACAUUACCUGACUUGGUCAAAUUGGUGUCCAAUGUGUGAGGCCUGAGUAAGAGGAGAAAAGUGAAGGACAUCCCUGGAUAAAGAAAUGAGCGCUCAGGAAUGAAAGCCUUACGCAGAAUUACAGGACAGCUCCAUAGACUUAAGCUGAAAGAUUCCACCACCCCCCUCCAUGUGACGGGCUGGUAGUCAAUGAUGGUUAAGAGUUUGAAACAACAUGAUCAACCUAAGACAGGAAACUAUCGAAGUGAGAUGGUUUUCCAAAGACAGAUCAGUACUUGGUAUGCCAUCACCAGAUAAACUUCCUCCUGCAACAAAUUGAAACAAAUACAGAGACCACAGCCAGACAUUAUGGAGAGAGUGAGAGACCUUGGAACACUCAGCCCUAAAUGGAAUAACUUCAUCAAAUCCCUCCCCUCAGAGUGCAGGAAACCCCAGAGAAAAGAAGGUGGAAAGAAUGUGUCUAUAUUAUAGCUUCAAGUUUAGUGUUUUUAUGGAAUUCCUGAGUGUAUGAACAAGUGGGUCUCUGAUUCUUGUGACUUCUCUUGGGCUCUUUUCCAUCUGUUGGUUUGUCCUGUCCAAUUUUGAUGUGAUAGCUUUCAUUUUAUUUUACUAUAGUUUAUUUUGUUAUAUUUUAGUAUUAUCUCUCAGAAUCCUGUUCUUUUCUAAUGAGAGACUGGAGGAGUUGGCACAGAUGUGAGGGAAGGUGGAAAGGAACUUGGUGGAGGGGGAGAGGAAACUGAAAUCAGGAUAUAUUAUUUGAGAAAAAGAAUUUAGUGUCAAUAAAAGGAAAGGAAAAAAGAGUAAGUAAACCUUCUCUCAUCUUUAAGUUGCUUUUGGUUAUGGUAUCUAUUACAGCAACAAAAACCAAACUAGAGCAAGUAUGAAACCUGACAGGCUCUUGUGUUAAAUGUUUGGUCCCCAGCAGCCAGCACUAUUUUGGGAGUUGACAAUUUCAGGAAAUAAAGGUUAAUUGUGGGCCUUUGUUUGUGAAGGGAGGGGUUGUGAAGGGGCCUUUGAAGGGUAUACCUGAUCACCUUGUCCCUUCUUCACUCUUUGCUUCCUGUCUGCCAUGAGCCCAACAGGCUCCUUAUCCAUACAUUCCUACUAUCAUGAUGGUCUGCCACGAGUCCAAAAUACCAAGUUAAGUAAUGAUUAAUUGCUUAUGAAUCCUUCUCAAAUAUGAGCAGAAACAAAUCUCUUCUUCCUUUAAGUUCUUUAUGUCAGGCAAUUUGUCACAGGAAUCAUAAAAUGAACUGAUUAAUACACUGGGUAUGGUGGUACAUGCCUAGAAUUUUAACACAUGGUAGUCUACAGCAGGAGCAUAUGGAGUGUGAAGUCAACCUGAGCUAUAUAGUGAGACCUUGUCUCAGAACAACGACAAGAACGUAUAUUAGAAAAUGGUGCAUUCAAUAUGUAUUAAUGCUUACCACCCCCAUGAUGUUUCAAUGCAGUACUCUGGUGAACCAAAGGGAUAAGAUAUACUUGUCAAAAAUGAGUACCCCAUGUCAGACACAGUCCCUGUUCCCCUUACUAGGAAACCCAAUUGGUUACUGAGCUACCACAGGCUAUAUCCGAGCAGAGGUUCUAGGUUAUACACUUAUAUGGUCCUUGGUUGGAGAAACAGUCUCAGAAAAGACCCCUGUGUCAUCUCCAGGUCAUACUAACUCUCCCUGCUUUCAUAUGAUUCCCUGCACUCUGCCGAAGAUUUGGUUAUGAGUCUUAGUAUCUAUUUUGAUAUACUGCUAGGUAGAGUCUUGCACCCUGCUAGGCCAGAGUAGAGCUUUGCAGCCAGUCUUGAAGAUACCUGAUAAAACAGGGUCAGAUGAAAGGGGAUGAGGUCCUCCUCUAUCAGUGGACUUGGUAAGGGGCAGGGAGGAGAUGAGGGAGGGAGGGUGGAAUUGAGAGGGAAUGAGGAAGCGGGAUAUAGCUGGAAUAUAGAGCUAAUAAAAUGUAACUAAUAAUAAAAAUAAAUAAAGAAAAAAAUAAAAAAAAUGAGUACCCCAUGAAGCUUUAUAAUCAGAAUAUGUCG